rnacentral:tRNA from 1 species
GCCCUCUUAGUUAAGUGGAUAUAACAAGCCCCUCCUAAGGGCUAGUCACGUGUUCGACUCACGUAGAGGGUGCCA